CUUAAACUGCAUUUGAUUUUCAUUUAUUCUAUCAUUUGCCUUAAAAAAGUGUUAGAUUAUAUAUAGUAUUAUGUUUUACAGGUGUCAGUUCUGAACAAGUAUUAACACCCUACACUGAUGUAGAAGUGUCUUCAGAAAGGGACAGAGUUACUCUCUCUUGUAACUACACCUCUUCUGAUAACAUUCUUCUAUGAUAUCGACAAUAUCCCAAAUCAGCACCACAGUUAAUGGUUAUGGAGUAUGCAGAUAUUACACCAGGUUUCACUCUAAAUCAUGACAAAAAAGCCAAACGUGUGGAUCUGGAGAUCUCCUCUGCUGAAGUGACAGACUCUGCUCUCUACUACUGUGCCCUGAUGGCCAUUGUGACAGGAAACCCAGAAACACUGCACAAAAACCUUCAUAUGUGAUUCAUACAAUAACGGAGGGAAACUAUUCCACCCCCCCUUCUCCCCAGUGGAGGGAACGAGAAAUGCAGUAUCACUGAAGAGAGGACAAAUGAGAGGAGAGGGAAGGAGAGGCCAGGAGAGGUGAGGAGAGGAGAGAUGGAGUAUUUUUAGAGCAACUGUACUUUGGGGUGGAGCUUGUAGCGAAACUAAGCAGGAACGAUCAACAGAAAACAUUUGCAGAUUCAUUUGGUUUGGAGUUUUCAGGUUCUGUUGUGCUAUUAGUCAGUUUGACUUCCAACCAUAGCCAUGUUCAUGUUCAUCUGCUCAAUUAUUACGUUCUCAGUAAUAGGUGGCAGUUAUGAGCAGACUAUAGAGCCAAACCAACAUGAAGUGUAUGCAGAAGUGGGUAGUAAUGUUCUUCUUUCCUGCAACUACUCCUCAGCAGACAGUCUACUAUGGUAUCAACAGUCUCCAGGAUCAGCUCCCCAAUACCUUCUGCUCAUCCAGCACUACACUGGGACUGAAAAUAGAGAUGAUUCUCUUGACUCUCGCUUUUCUGGUAAACUGAACAAAGAGAAGACCCGUGUGGAUCUGGAGAUCUCCUCUGCUGAAGAGACAGACUCUGCUAUGUACUACUGUGCUCUGAAGCCCACAGUGACAGGAAACCCAGAAACACUGUACAAAAACCUAACAUCGCCUGAGAGAGUUUCUACACUGUAGUUACAGGUUUCGUUUGACAAUAGCUCCAUCAAGUGGAGUCUAUAUGCAGCCAUUAUAUUGUGUCAAGAUGAGGAGCUUAGUUUUACAAAUCAUGUGUCAUGAGAGUAACUGAGUGAAUGUUCCAAGAGAAGAUCAUUUAACAGAGAAGUCUCUGUCUAACACCCAGUCGCUAUGAUGCUGCUCUUUUCAGUCUUGUUUAUGUGCACUAAUAGGUAAGAAUUCCCUGUCAUUAACUGAAUGUGUACAAACAGAAUGUACAAUGUUCAGCAAUCAUUUCAAUAUGUUAUUAUAAAUAUCAAGUGGUAAUACACUUUGAAACACCAAGUGUGGAUAUAUUGUACGCUGUCUAAAUUUACUCAGUGAUCCAUAUUUUAUUUUUUACAGGACAUAAUUUCUCCAGAUUUAGUGGAUGUUAUGGAGGGUAGUAGUGUUAAACUCUCCUGUAGAUACAACAGCUCAUUAGCCAACAGUCUGUUAUGGUACCUCCAGCAACUUGGAUCCUCUCUACAGUUCCUCAUUCUGGACUUCUCUGGGAUCAAAACCAACACUGAUAGUACAAAAUGGACCCUCACACAUGAAAAAGAGGAAAACCGUGUGGAUCUGGAGAUCUCCUCUGCUGAAGUGACAGACUCUGCUCUGUAAUACUGUGCACUGAAGCCCACAGUGACAGGAAACCCAGAUACACAGUAGAAAAACUGAUCUUGACCAGUGGUGUAAAAUAAUUAAGUUAAAAUACUGUAAAGUACUACUUAAUGAGUUUUUGGGGUUUACUUUCUUUUUUAAUAUUUUUGACAAUACUUUUACUUCACUGCUAUACUUUUACUUCACUAAAUCCGAGAUACCAAAUGUGUGUAGAGGCUAGUUUUGCUGUCCUGCAACUACUCCUCAACAUACAGUGUUUUGUGGUAUAAACAGGGUCAGCUCCCCAAUUCCUCCUCUUCAUCCGCCAUGACUCCAUAUUCUCACCUCACUUUUAAACUGAACAAAGAUCUUGAGAUCUCCUCUGCUGAAGUGAGACUUUGCUCUGUACGACUGUACUGUAGAGCCCACAUUGACAUGAAACAGAGAAACACUGUACAAAAACUAUACGACAGUCUGCACUGUACUGCUGUGAUAUGACAUCCACAGUGCCUCAAAACUUAUUGACUCCGCAGUGAGAUUAAUUUUAUGGAUUUACAACAUCUGCUGUAUUCUGUUAGACCACAGUGUCAUCAAGUGGAGUUUCUAGUGAAUAAAUCAAAUGUUUAUGAAACAUCUUUGAUUCUACAUUGCCAGUAGGAGGAGCUAGAGUAUAAAACUCAGGAUUAGAUUAUGAAUCCUCAAGAUAAAACAUGAAACUACCAUGAAUAUCAUAGCCAGUUGAUGCUGUGCUUUUCAUCAUCAGUUGGUGCUUAUUC
ensembl:lncRNA